UUAACAUUUUUUUAGAAUUUAAGAUUCUAAUUUGCUUGAGCUUGUGUUAAG
rnacentral:tRNA from 1 species